GAUGAACGCUGGCGGCAUGCCUAAUACAUGCAAGUCGAACGAGAGGAAGGAAAGCUUGCUUUUCUGAAUCUAGUGGCGAACGGGUGAGUAACACGUAGGUAACCUGCCCAUGUGCCCGGGAUAACUUCUGGAAACGGAUGCUAAAACCGGAUAGGUAGCAGACAAGCAUUUGACUGCUAUUAAAGUGGCUAAGGCCAUGAACAUGGAUGGACCUGCGGUGCAUUAGCUAGUUGGUGAGGUAACGGCCCACCAAGGCGACGAUGCAUAGCCGGCCUGAGAGGGCGGACGGCCACAUUGGGACUGAGACACGGCCCAAACUCCUGCGGGAGGCAGCAGUAGGGAAUUUUCGUCAAUGGGGGGAACCCUGAACGAGCAAUGCCGCGUGAGUGAGGAAGGUCUUCGGAUCGUAAAGCUCUGUUGUAAGAGAAAAACGACAUUCAUAGGGAAUGAUGAGUGAGUGAUGGUAUCUUACCAGAAAGUCACGGCUAAAUACGUGCCAGCAGCCGCAGUAA
rnacentral:rRNA from 1 species